UUCUGACCUCUCAGAGACUCCAUUACUUCCCCUUGGCCGUGAGAAUGAUGUUAACCUCUACUGCGUGGAGUGGUUCUGAAGACGGAUCGAAGUCAUCCAUGCACCGGGCAAGAGGUGAGCGGUGCCCUGUUACUGAAUGUCAGUUGUCGUUGCCCAGGCCUCGGGCUGCUCUUCUGUGGAGUUUUACGAUUGUAUUUUUCUAUCAGCAGCCCAAAGGCAGGCAUGGAGCCCGUGGCAUGGAAUGGCAGCGAUGGGUCAUGGAAAAUGAGAACUGUCAUCUUGAAGGGGACAUCUGACGUGGUCCAGAGGAGGGAGGGGAUUCAAGAGGAGGCAGCUGAUGGGCCACGAGCAGCUAGGUCAGAGGACGAGGAGCCACGCUGGGACGGGUGGUGUAUCAGCAGGUACUGAGCAGGCGCUGUGUUCAGAAUCCAGGUUUCAGGAGGAAGAGCGAGACCGAGGACAGGCUGAGGGUGGGAUCACAGGGGUGGGCGGGCAGAGCUGGUUACUGGACAGGAUGGUUGGUGAUGAAAGAGGACCCCCAAGCCCGGGCCUUUGGAUCUAUCUUUGUGGAUUGGGAAGCCCCCAGGAUGGUGACGUCUAAUGACGUGCAGAUUGUAAGGCAGGAUUCUCGGGGGCCACAGGAGGAUGGGGCGCGCGGUCAGUGAGGGGCAGAGAGUGCAGACAGGCUGGGGGCGCUGGUGUUCAAAGGAGCGGGGGUUCCUGCAAGGACAGUGGCCUGGCAGCAGCACAGCAGUGUGAGAAAGACCCCAUCUUCCUCCCAACUCGGGGUGCCUGGGAUGUGGAACAGCCAGGUUGUUGCUGUCAUUUCUGAAUCCGUGUCCCCUGGAGAGGCGAAAACCCUCUGCAGAGGGAGAGGGGAGGUGUGAGGUCCUUGGUCCACGGGCUGGGAGUCCUGGAGGGCAGGAUGGGAGGUUUGCUUUUGACGGCAUCCAUUGGACACUGGAUUUAGGGAGAGGAGACCCAGAAUUGUUUGGGCACAGGGAAUUUGGGAAGGCUUGCCUCUCAGUUACCGGGAACUCCGGAGUUUGUGAGUGAGUGGCUGUGUUUAGCCAGCUGCGCUUGUGCCAAAGGGAUUCAUCCCAGUAUUGGGUUGAGGUUGGUUGAACUCCUAUUGUGUGGUUUUCACUUUCUCAAGUAGAACUUCGUAGUCUGAACCCCCUUUGUCUCCCCCUCUAAAGGGGGACCAAAAUACCCACCUCAAGAGGCUUUUAGGAGCAACAGAGGAGGUGAGUAUGUGAGGUGUGUGGGGGGUCCCCGCCAGGCACACAGCAGGUGGCACACCUCUCCCACCCUCUCUGCACCCGCGUCCAUAGGCUGGGGGCCUUCCCCGGACUCAGGGUAGUAACUGGCAGCCAAGGAGAACAGCAGUGAUGUAUAGGGGACCCUGCUCGCAGAAGGACUUUGGUUCCCGCCGAGUAGUCCUCCUGCCCCAGUUUAUGAUGCUAACCUGGUUGGAGGGAGUUCUGGGGCUGAUGAGGGGUCUUUGCCGGGGCCACAUCCCAGAACUUUCCAGGCAUCCCAACCUGGAGGGGAGCUGGGCCAGCCCCCCAGCCAACUACACCUGGAAAACGUGUGCAUGCUUUCCCGGGUGUGUUUUUGCCAACAGGAAUCCCAGCCACCCAAGCUCCGCAGCAGCGCUCAGGACAGUGGUGUAAAGUGGAAGGGGGUAAAACAGGAGGAAGUGGCGGGUCCUGGGCUCAGUCUGUGCUGCCCUGUGCUUCCUGCAUGAAAUGCUGUUUUGCACUUGUAGUUUCCAUUCUGGUGAUGGACUCACAUAGUUAAAUUCUGCACCACAGGACCCACCUCUCCCUCCUGUUUUACCCCCCUUCCAGCUUACACCUCACCACCACCUCCUCAGCCCUGCCCCGCGGGUGCUCUGUGACCCGGGCCUCGAGUGGGUCUAGUUGGGGGCAGUGCGUCCCUGCAGGUCCCGUUGCUCCCAAGCUCCUUGGCUGCCGAGGGGCAGGGGCAGGCAGGAGCUGCCCCUGGAAGCUGCUUCUCCGUCCACCAGGCUCCCUGGGAAAAGCUGUCCCUGCACCCUGGGAGCCUCUUUCAGGCCCAUGCCCCUGAGGCUGAGCAGGUCAGAGUGGCACUCGCUACGGCUCUGGCAUCGUGUUCCUGCCCCCAACACCCCUCCCACCCGCUUCAUUUCCAGCCCCAGAGCAGCUGCUUGCAGGUAUCAUUUAAGGCCAGGCCUUCUGAGGUUCGCGUGCCCCAGGGCCUCUGCCCAGCUGUCCCCCGAGCUGCCCAGACCCAUGAAUUCAGAUUCCCUGAGGGUGAGAUCCAAGCAGUCAUACUUUUUCAAGCUCCUCACGUGGCUCCAGUGUGCAGAGAAGCUUGAGAAGCAUCGUUCUAGAACCUUCCGGAGCCAGGGGGGAUUGUAAUGACCAUCAGUGCAGAAUCUAAGAGUUUCUCUGUCCUGCUGCAGGAACCCUGGGUGACUCCUCACACGGAGGGCUCUGUCAGGAAGACACGAGGGAGGCAGCGCUCUCUGUUGCUUAUAAAUAUAAUUUAUUCCCUGUUGAAAAAUCCUUUCUUACAUUUUGUACACAGUGGCCGACAGAAUAAAUGCGGGCAGAUUUACAAAGCAAGGGACUGCAGGGGAAAUGGGGCGCGACGGCCAGGGAGGGAGAAGAGGCACAGCUGGAGCUGGCACCUCUGGGCCUCCAGGGCAGAGAGCACGCCUCCGCGGGGGAUUUUCUAGAAAAGGAAUUGCAUAGAAGAGCCAGCAGAAGGAAACUCCACCACAACAAAAGACGUGUUCCAUCUCUGAAGAGCCAAGGUUGUGUCAUUGUGUUGACAAAAGAAGAAAGAAAAACCACAAAGCACAAAACCUUAUUCUGACAUUUCUGCAGCUGAACUGGUCCACAGGGAGUGGCGGGUGGAUGACACGGCCCUUGAGCACAGACUGCUGGGGAGUUUUUCUCUGACAAACACCGGUUGUCAUCUUUAGAAAGAGCAGAGGAAGGUCACGAGCUUACGAGAGGUCAACAUUAAACUCAACAAACACGUACAAUACUGUGACAUCUCACACACACUCACACACACACACACACUCACACACAGAUGCCACUCCCUGCAGUGGAGGGUGACAACGGUCUCACCACCAAAGGGAGGCCUGGGAAAGAGCAAAGGGGAGCACGCUAGUCACACGAUCAGCUUGUCACAAGGCCUGGAGGACUGUGUUUGAAUUUAUACCCCACAUUGACAGGUGUCAUAGGGACGUUUGCAGUAGAAAAGGGCAAAGGCAUUUUUCACUGGCUGCAGCCCGCUUGCUCUUUCAUGCUGUUCUAAACAGGUUGAACAUCUAGGACGUUGCUCUGGUCGUGAUUCUCGGAGGUUGCAUCACUGCGGGGCUGACGUUCAGAGGUCAAGGGCUCAUCAAUUCUUAGGCUGCAUAUCAGCAAAAUGUGCCUAUGAUUCAUAUUCUGAGCUCCAGUCCCGAUCGUGAGUCCACCCUGGGUCAGUGCCAUCAGGUUCAGCCGCAGCUCUGAUAGUGCCAAGUCCAGCAGACCUUUGGAAUGUAAAGUUGGCACAGAGGAUUUAAGCAUCAUUUGUAAAAGACCCUGAAGUGUUACAGCCUCCAGCAACCUAGGAGUUUGCUGAGGCAGAAUGCGAAAUGGCACAUGAAAAGGCUGGUGUUCAGCAGCAAGUGCCUGGGCUGGUGGGCAUCUUCCUCAUGUCCUACUCAGCAGCUGGGAGGCCAAGACUCUUGAGGCAUUCUGCAGAGAUUCCCGACUUGGGAUUCCAGAAGAUUCCUGGCUACCUCAUUGCAAAACACAAAAGUGUACAGCAGGCUGGAAAGUAGCCUCUUACUCCUGCCUGAUUUUGUGCCGGCGCAUUUGUGGCGUUCAUGGCCUCCCUGGACCAGAGGCUAAAAUAGGGCUAGGCGUGGACUUUGGCUGCAUGAGCCACCUGAAGAUUAAGUGGCCCGUUGACAGGCCCUUUGAAAACCCUGGAAGCAGUGAAGUCUUCUGAAGACAGAUUUUUAGCGUAGGUUUUGUGAAAAUUGGGGCAAGCACAAAAUGCUGCUAAGACUAAAGGAUCAGGAAGUUAUUUGUAGAGAAAACCUACCUAGUGACAUACAAGGCCCUCUCCCUAUUUUUCAUAAAUAGGAAGUUUUAGACAUGCAUUCUGGAAACACUUAGGACUCCACUUGCUUUAUUUGACCUGUAUGGACACAGGCUUGAAUUAAUAAUGGGUACAAUGUAUUUUUUCCCCUUAUGCCUUAUUUCCUUAAAAAAAAAUCAUUGACGAGGCCAGGGAACUAUUUCAGCACAGCCAGAGAUUACAUAGAUUUCUUAAAGAAACAGCACUUCAUUGCACGGAGGCAAAGUUCAAAGGAAUUCAGUUACCACUCGCUCAGGAAGGUUUUAAAAAAUAUGAAAAACCAACCCACCGCAGUGUAAUAGUUGGUCCUAUGAGGCACUCCAAAGGUGAAACCAUGCGUUUUUACCUUGAGCUACUAUUUCCUAUUGGAUCCAUAACAUUUAAUGCUCACUGACCAUCGUAUUUACAAAUGACUGACUUUGAGCCUCAGCAUUCAGCGUCACAAACGCUCUUCCGCUCUCGACGAAGAUGGAUAAAAUCCAAUUUCAUUUUGGCUGUCUCCUGGCUCCUCCUUUCUUUCAGCAGCCUUGGACUUGUCCUGCGAUCUCUAUGACAAACUAAAGACUUGUCAAGGCCGACUACUUGGAAAAAGCCAAAGCUCACAUGCAACCUGAAGUCUGGACGGAUAAACUCUUUCUACAUACUUGAUACGCUUGCAGGGAUCUGUAUUUGACCCACCGGGGCAGCGCGUGUCGUGGUGAAGGCUUGUGAAUUCUGAGGAGACAGUGCCAUCCCUUCCUCAAACAUGAGUGACAGAAAAGUAAGUGGACCAGGAGCACAGCUGCUGUGUCCCCGACGGUUACACACAGAAGGGUACAUUAGCUUCUCUGUUCCUCUCCAGAG
rnacentral:lncRNA from 1 species